GAAUCUUCGGCAAUGGGCGAAAGCCUGACCGAGCGACGCCGCGUGAAGGAUGAAGGCCCUCGGGUCGUAAACUUCUAAAAGAGGGACGAUAAUGACGGUACCUCUUGAAAAGCACCGGCUAACUCCGUGCCAGCAGCCGCGGUAAUACGGAGGGUGCAAGCGUUAUCCGGAAUCACUGGGCGUAAAGGGCGCGUAGGCGGCCUGUUAAGUCCGAUGUUAAAGACUGGGGCUCAACCCCAGCAUUGCGUUGGAUACUGGCAGGCUUGACGGUUGGAGAGGCGAGUGGAAUUACCAGUGUAGCGGUGAAAUGCGUAGAUACUGGUAGGAACACCCAUUGCGAAGGCAGCUCGCUGGACAACACGUGACGCUGAGGCGCGAAAGUGUGGGGAGCAAACCG
rnacentral:rRNA from 1 species